rnacentral:rRNA from 1 species
UACGAAGGGGGCUAGCGUUGUUCGGAAUUACUGGGCGUAAAGCGCACGUAGGCGGAUAUUUAAGUCAGGGGUGAAAUCCCACAGCUUAACUGUGGAACUGCCUUUGAAACUGUAAGCUGGAAUGCAAGAGGGGAUAGCGGAAUUGCUAAUGUAGAGGUGAAAUUCGUAGAUAUUAGCAGGAACACCGGUGGCGAAGGCGGCUAUCUGGAUUGCAAUUGACGCUGAGGCGCGAAAGCGUGGGAGCAAACAGG